AGCAUAACAAGAUCAGCAUCAAUCACAAAGACGUUUCAUCUUGUUAUGAACCAAAGCCAAGUAAUUUAACAUGGAUGAUUCCAAGGGUUCAUUGCUUGAGAUAUUAUUACCAUAGAAUGAAAUAUUAUGGCAUUCAUUUGCUGAACCAGAAAAUUACAACUUUAUGCAGAUAGAAUAUUCAAAAAGACAGUAAAGCACAUGCAGAUAUGAAUUAUCAUUCCAUGCCUAAGAGAUGCAGUUGAUGAAUACAUUAAUAGUUUCAAGAAAUUGCUGCAUCAGCAACCCUCUUAUAACUAGAUCAAAGAAGGGUUUUUAUUAAAGUUUGCAGAACACUGAGGUUAUAAGGCCAUACUGAGAUUUUCAAGGAGUAUCAAACAAGGAACCAUGGACAAAUCAAUUUUUUUAUCCACUUCUACACAAAUGAACAAUUGUACCAAUCAAGGGUCUCAAACCAUUCAUAGUAACUUCAGAUACCCACCCAAGAACGAAAACUGCACCAAGAGCAACCGUGGUAGUAAUUAAAGCUUGGCAGAAAUAGCUGAACCCUAAACAAAAAUAGUGUUUCUCCUAGCGGCCCAAAGACUUAUAACAUCUAAUAAUUGUCCUGCAAGAAAUCUAACUAUUGUCCCGCCUGAUAAAAAUUGCCAAACCACCUACUAUAUUGUUGAGCUUCGCGUAGUUUGAUCUACCAAAUCAAGCCAUCAUAAACUACCAUUUGAGCCGAUAUUUGCAUAACCGGAUAAUUUUUUAUAGAACCUCAACACAUCUAGCAUGGAUCUUGAAUUUAACCAAAACUCAGUGCCAAUGUAACAAUAAUUGUCAGAAUUCUCCUCAGUAUCAUAUCUAUCAUAGGGUUCUCUAAAUCCCGAUUUCUCAUUUUCCUUUACGAAUGAUAAAUAAAGAACGAAUCCAACAUUUCUCAGAGGAAACUAGGAAUUCAGAUCAAAUCAAAGAGGAAAAAAAAUAUGGGAUCUAGCAGUUCCAAAAUGUAGAGAAACAAAACGAUAAAAAAAACA
rnacentral:misc_RNA from 1 species